rnacentral:misc_RNA from 1 species
GAUGAAGAACGCAGCGAAAUGCGAUAAGUAAUGUGAAUUGCAGAAUUCAGUGAAUCAUCGAAUCUUUGAACGCACCUUGCGCCCUUUGGCCAUUCCGAAGGGCAUGCCUGUUUGAGUAUCAUGAACACCUCAACUCUUUAUGGUUUUCCAUGAUGAGCUUGGACUCUGGGGGUUUUGCUGGCUCACAGUCGGCUCCUCUGAAAUGAAUCAGCUUACCAGUGUUUGGUGGGUAUCAUAGGUGUGAUAACUAUCUACGCUUGUGGUUUUCCACCAGGGUAACCUUCAGCAGUGGAGGUUCACUGGAGCUUACAAAUGUCUCUCCUCCGUGAGGACAGCCCUUUGAAUGUUUGAUCUCAAAUCAGGUAGGACUACCCGCUGAACUUAAGCAUAUCAAUAAGCGGAGGA